rnacentral:rRNA from 1 species
GACGAAGGGGGCUAGCGUUGUUCGGAAUUACUGGGCGUAAAGCGGGUGUAGGUGGUUGUCCAAGUUGGAUGUGAAAGCCUUGAGCUCAACUCAAGAAAUGCAUUCAGGACUGGGCGGCUAGAGGACCGGAGAGGAUAGUGGAAUUCCCAGUGUAGUGGUGAAAUACGUAGAGAUUGGGAAGAACACCAGUGGCGAAGGCGGCUAUCUGGACGGUUUCUGACACUAAGGAGCGAAAGCGUGGGUAGCAAACAGG